rnacentral:rRNA from 1 species
UUAGAAGCAGCCAUCCUUUAAAGAAAGCGUAAUAGCUCACUAGUCGAGUCGGCCUGCGCGGAAGAUGUAACGGGGCUCAAACUGGUCACCGAAGCUGCGGCUGCAUACAUUGUAUGCGGGGUAGGGGAGCGUUCUGUAAGCCUGCGAAGGUGUGUUGAGAAGCAUGCUGGAGGUAUCAGAAGUGCGAAUGCUGACAUGAGUAACGACAAUGCGGGUGAAAAACCCGCACGCCGGAAGACCAAGGGUUCCUGCGCAACGCUAAUCGGCGCAGGGUGAGUCGGCCCCUAAGGCGAGACCGAAAGGUGUAGUCGAUGGGAAACGGGUUAAUAUUCCCGUACCUUGGAUAGCUGCGAUGGAGAGACGGAGAAGGCUAGGUGAGCCGGGCGACGGUUGUCCCGGUUUAAGCGAGUAGGGAGUGGACUUAGGCAAAUCCGGGUCCACAAUCUCGAGACGCGACGACGACUGCUCUUAGAGCGGGAAGUCAUUGAUGCCAUGCUUCCAGGAAAAUCUUCUAAGCUUCAGGCUAUUCGAGACCGUACCCCAAACCGACACAGGUGGUCAGGUAGAGAAUACCAAGGCGCUUGAGAGAACUCGGGUAAAGGAACUAGGCAAAAUGGUGCCGUAACUUCGGGAGAAGGCACGCCGGUGUGUA